rnacentral:rRNA from 1 species
AUUGAACGCUGGCGGCAGGCCUAACACAUGCAAGUCGAGCGCUUCCAGCUUGCUGGAGGAGCGGCGAACGGGUGAGUAACGCGUAGGAAUCUGCCUGGUAGUGGGGGACAACGUCUCGAAAGGGACGCUAAUACCGCAUACGCCCUACGGGGGAAAGGGGGGAGUCUUCGGACCUCUCGCUAUCAGAUGAGCCUGCGUCGGAUUAGCUAGUUGGUGGGGUAAAGGCCCACCAAGGCGACGAUCCGUAGCUGGUCUGAGAGGAUGAUCAGC